rnacentral:rRNA from 1 species
UGCAGUCGAGCGGAACGAAAGUAGCUUGCUACUAGGCGUCGAGCGGCGGACGGGUGAGUAAUGCUUAGGAAUCUACCAAGUAGUGGGGGAUAGCCAUUGGAAACGAUGAUUAAUACCGCAUAUAUCCUACGGGGGAAAGCAGGGGAUCUUCGGACCUUGCGCUAUUUGAUGAGCCUGAGUGAGAUUAGCUAGUUGGUGGGGUAAAGGCCUACCAAGGCGACGAUCUCUAGCUGGUCUGAGAGGAUGAUCAGCCACACUGGGACUGAGACACGGCCCAGACUCCUACGGGAGGCAGCAGUGGGGAAUAUUGCACAAUGGACGAAAGUCUGAUGCAGCCAUGCCGCGUGUGUGAAGAAGGCCUUCGGGUUGUAAAGCACUUUCAGCGAGGAGGAAAGGUUAGUAGUUAAUAACUACUAGCUGUGACGUUACUCGCAGAAGAAGCACCGGCUAAUUUAGUGCCAGCAGCCGCGGUAAUACUAAAGGUGCAAGCGUUAAUCGGAAUUACUGGGCGUAAAGCGCGCGUAGGUGGUUUGUUAAGUUGGAUGUGAAAGCCCAGGGCUCAACCUUGGAACUGCAUUCAAAACUGACUCACUA